rnacentral:rRNA from 1 species
GAUGAACGCUGGCGGCGUGCCUAAUACAUGCAAGUCGAGCGAACAGACGAGGAGCUUGCUCCUCUGACGUUAGCGGCGGACGGGUGAGUAACACGUGGAUAACCUACCUAUAAGACUGGGAUAACUUCGGGAAACCGGAGCUAAUACCGGAUAAUAUAUUGAACCGCAUGGUUCAAUAGUGAAAGACGGUUUUGCUGUCACGUAUAGAUGGAUCCGCGCCGCAUUAGCUAGUUGGUAAGGUAACGGCUUACCAAGGCGACGAUGCGUAGCCGACCUGAGAGGGUGAUCGGCCACACUGGAACUGAGACACGGUCCAGACUCCUACGGGAGGCAGCAGUAGGGAAUCUUCCGCAAUGGGCGAAAGCCUGACGGAGCGACGCCGCGUGAGUGAUGAAGGUCUUCGGAUCGUAAAGCUCUGUUAUUAGGGAAGAACAGAUGUGUAAGUAACUAUGCACGUCUUGACGGUACCUAAUCAAGAAGCCCCGGCUAACUACGUG